CCGUGAUAAUGUAGCAUAAUCACUCGCCAUUUAAUUGAUGGAUAGUAUGAAUGGUUGAACGAAUAUUUCACUGUCUUAGAAAGAAUUAACAAAAAUUGAAAUAAUAGUUAAGAUGCUAUUUAAAACUGUAAGACGAAAAGACCCUAUAGAGCUUAACUAUAAUCUCUUUAUCUCUAAAAGAAUAAUAUUUCUAUUAUUAAAGAGAUUGGUAGUUUAGUUGGGGCGACUGCCUUCUAAAAUUAACGAAGGUAAGCAAUGUUAAUAGAUAAUUUAUUGUAUAACACAAAAGUUUAACAAUUAUAAUAAUAGGCUAUAAUGACCCGUUUUUACUUAGUAAAAAGAAAAACGAUUAAUUAAUAAAAGCUACCUUAGGGAUAACAGGAUAAUUUUAUUUUAGAGUCCAUAUCGAAAAUAAA
rnacentral:rRNA from 1 species